CCUGGCUCAGGACGAACGCUGGCGGCGCGCCUAACACAUGCAAGUCGAACGAGAGAUGAGGAGCUUGCUCUUCAGAUCGAGUGGCGAACGGGUGAGUAACGCGUGAGGAACCUGCCUCAAAGAGGGGGACAACAGUUGGAAACGACUGCUAAUACCGCAUAAGCCCACGGCUCGGCAUCGAGCAGAGGGAAAAGGAGCAAUCCGCUUUGAGAUGGCCUCGCGUCCGAUUAGCUGGUUGGUGAGGUAACGGCCCACCAAGGCGACGAUCGGUAGCCGGACUGAGAGGUUGAACGGCCACAUUGGGACUGAGACACGGCCCAGACUCCUACGGGAGGCAGCAGUGGGGAAUAUUGCACAAUGGGGGAAACCCUGAUGCAGCGACGCCGCGUGGAGGAAGAAGGUCUUCGGAUUGUAAACUCCUGUUGUUGAGGAAGAUAAUGACGGUACUCAACAAGGAAGUGACGGCUAACUACGUGCCAGCAGCCGCGGUAAAACGUAGGUCACAAGCGUUGUCCGGAAUUACUGGGUGUAAAGGGAGCGCAGGCGGGAGAACAAGUUGGAAGUGAAAUCCAUGGGCUCAACCCAUGAACUGCUUUCAAAACUGUUUUUCUUGAGUAGUGCAGAGGUAGGCGGAAUUCCCGGUGUAGCGGUGGAAUGCGUAGAUAUCGGGAGGAACACCAGUGGCGAAGGCGGCCUACUGGGCACCAACUGACGCUGAGGCUCGAAAGUGUGGGUAGCAAACAGGAUUAGAUACCCUGGUAGUCCACACCGUAAACGAUGAUUACUAGGUGUUGGAGGAUUGACCCCUUCAGUGCCGCAGUUAACACAAUAAGUAAUCCACCUGGGGAGUACGACCGCAAGGUUGAAACUCAAAGGAAUUGACGGGGGCCCGCACAAGCAGUGGAGUAUGUGGUUUAAUUCGACGCAACGCGAAGAACCUUACCAAGUCUUGACAUCCCUUGACGAACAUAGAAAUAUGUUUUCUCUUCGGAGCAAGGAGACAGGUGGUGCAUGGUUGUCGUCAGCUCGUGUCGUGAGAUGUUGGGUUAAGUCCCGCAACGAGCGCAACCCUUAUGGUCAGUUACUACGCAAGAGGACUCUGGCCAGACUGCCGUUGACAAAACGGAGGAAGGUGGGGAUGACGUCAAAUCAUCAUGCCCUUUAUGACUUGGGCUACACACGUACUACAAUGGCGUUAAACAAAGAGAAGCAAGACCGCGAGGUGGAGCAAAACUCAGAAACAACGUCCCAGUUCGGACUGCAGGCUGCAACUCGCCUGCACGAAGUCGGAAUUGCUAGUAAUCGUGGAUCAGCAUGCCACGGUGAAUACGUUCCCGGGCCUUGCACACACCGCCC
rnacentral:rRNA from 1 species